rnacentral:sRNA from 1 species
GCUGGGCAUGGUGUCACAUGCCUGUAAUCCUAGCAGCUUGGGAGGCUGAGGCAGGAGGAUCGUAAGUGCAAACCAGCCUCAGCAAAAGCAAGGAGCUAAGCAACUCAGUGAGACCCUGUCUCUA